AGUGGCGGACGGGUGAGUAACGCGUAAGAAUCUAACUUCAGGACGGGGACAACAGUGGGAAACGACUGCUAAUACCCGAUGUGCCGCGAGGUGAAACCUAAUUGGCCUGAAGAAGAGCUUGCGUCUGAUUAGCUAGUUGGUGGGGUAAGAGCCUACCAAGGCGACGAUCAGUAGCUGGUCUGAGAGGAUGAGCAGCCACACUGGGACUGAGACACGGCCCAGACUCCUACGGGAGGCAGCAGUGGGGAAUUUUCCGCAAUGGGCGAAAGCCUGACGGAGCAACGCCGCGUGAGGGAGGAAGGUCUUUGGAUUGUAAACCUCUUUUCUCAAGGAAGAAGUUCUGACGGUACUUGAGGAAUCAGCCUCGGCUAACUCCGUGCCAGCAGCCGCGGUAAUACGGGGGAGGCAAGCGUUAUCCGGAAUUAUUGGGCGUAAAGCGUCCGCAGGUGGUCAGCCAAGUCUGCCGUCAAAUCAGGUUGCUUAACGACCUAAAGGCGGUGGAAACUGGCAGACUAGAGAGCAGUAGGGGUAGCAGGAAUUCCCAGUGUAGCGGUGAAAUGCGUAGAGAUUGGGAAGAACAUCGGUGGCGAAAGCGUGCUACUGGGCUGUAUCUGACACUCAGGGACGAAAGCUAGGGGAGCGAAAGGGAUUAGAUACCCCUGUAGUCCUAGCCGUAACGAUGGAUACUAGGCGUGGCUUG
rnacentral:rRNA from 1 species